GAGGCUAUAGCUCAGUGGUAGAGCACGUGCUUAGCACGCACAAGGUCCUGGGUUCAGUUCCCAGUGCUUCCA
rnacentral:tRNA from 1 species